CUCCCUACACGCGCGCCGCAACCUCCUCCGCUCGCUCUGCAACCUCGCCCGCCUCCUGCGCUCGCGUGCGCCGUCGCCCACCUCCUCAGCUCGCACCGCAACCUCGCCCGCCUCUUGCGCUCGCGUGCGCCGUCGUCGCCGCAGCUCCCUCUCCUCUACUGUGCUGCCGCCGCCGCUCCCUCCCAAUGACCCGCCGGAUCUCCUAGUGAGGAGGCCGGGACCGCCGGAUCCGGUGACCCCGGUCUCCUCGCCGGCGGAUCCGGCGCCCAGACGCCCACCUCCUCCGCUCGCAAGCGCCGUCGCCGCCGCAGCUCCCUUCUCCUCUACCGUGCUGCCACCGCCGCUCCCUCUCUGCGGUGUCAAAUAUGGCUCGGGGACCGUCUGAUUCAUCAAUCUUGGCCUCCCCUCCAGUUGAAUCGGUCGCCCGGAUGGAGUCAAUAGGGUGCCGCCGCUGCCCUCUUCUCCUGUCCCUCUCCGGCCGCCGCCACUGCCAUCUUCUCCUCUCCCUCUCCAUGAGAGCCUCGCUCAGUGCCAUGAGAAGGGAAGGGAGAGUGUCGGCUUGACCAGGACCGCGAUGAAGACAGCUGCGGCUCCGCGACAAUAGCUGCCUGGUCGUUCCUGUUCUCUUUUUUCCUUUUCGUUCUAGCUCAGUGUCAUAGGGCCAUGAGAAGGAAGUGGUUGGACCUUAGUUGUUGAUGAUUACAACCGUGAUUUGCUUCUAAUGUGUAAGCCUUGAUUUAGUUACAGUGCCAGUCUUGAUUUGCUUUUAAUGUGUAUGGCAUUAUUCAGUUAUAGUGUGUAGGUUGUGUGGAGAAAUUUCCCUCUGCAUGUACUUCAACACUGUCAUGUGUGAUCAAACUGUUUAGCUUGAAACAACACACGCUGCUACUCAAAAUUCUCUAUGCUGUGAUUAAUUGUUUCAGUUAGGAAUUGCAUAUACAACUUUGGAGGGCAAAACGAUAUUGUUGAUAGGUUUAUUUGUUCCCAUUUGUGAUGCAGGGCAUAUUUAUGCGAUUUGGGGCUUUCGUUCAUUAUAUCAAGCUUAGGAUACCUUUGACAUGUAUGUAAUGAUUCUCUUUGGUUGCCAAGGUAAAGUUCUUCUUGGGCUGAUUCAGUUCAUAUUAUGUACACAAGAAACAUAAUAGUGCAGAUCCAACUCAAAGCCUUUCAGACCAUACUAUAAAUGCCCUAAAUGCCCUACUGUUCUUUAUUUAUCAGUGCUUAUAAGCUUCUCUAGAUGCAGGUAUCCCUCCCAGUGCAUAUGAAGUGGAACAUAUCUAUGUAAGUUUUGUUUUGCCUCAAUACGAAUCAAUUACUUUUUUUGAACAUCAUACGAAGUCAUUGUAACCUAUUUAGAACUGGAAUUUUAACAAAGAUUGUCCUAUGCUGUAGCCAUGGGACUUUUUUUUAUUAUACACCAGCUUGCACGAGGUGCAUUAGUCUUUGUCGCCUAAUUUGGUUCCUCUUCUUAGCUAGAGGUAUACUAAGAAAUACUAGCUAGGUUCUCUCUGUACGAGCACUAAUGCAUUUUUGGGAAGUAUGGUAUCUCAUCUGAGGUGUGUGAAUUUAGGCAAUAAAGAAAAACAUAUACUCAUGUUGUAGUUUUUGUUUAGAAUUGAAAUAGUUAUUGAUAAGAGAAAUAUGCUUAACAUGCUACAUGCAUAGUCAUAUUGCUAAAAUGUGACAUUUCAUAUUGAAGACUAUAUACUAUUUAAGCAGCUACCUGUGUUCCAAAACUAUCAAAUAUUUUAUUUCAAAUGGUCAGGUAGGCUUACAGUUAUUGACAACCAGUUGGGGAUAGUAGGAUAUUGGAUGAGGUAGUUCUUAUAGUGUAGGAACUACAAUCCAUUGACAGUGUUUGGAACUUACUGACAAUGAUAGUGGACAUACUGGUAUUUGAAUAAUGUCCCAUGUGCUUUAUUGCUAAUUUUUGUUUAAACAAAUUGUUCAUGAUAGUUGGGAAGUACAGCUGGCCCAAUGUGUUAUGGGGAACAAAAGUAAUUGUUAAUUGUUGCUUUCUCAUGAAAAGGAUGUAAUUAAUUAUCUGGAACCAAUGUGGAAUAGUUAUUCUCCUUCAAGUUUUGUCUUAAUAUCCAACAGAUGGAUAUAAAAUUGAAACCACUUUCUAUGCAUGAAACACUUAUUUUUCUUCUUUUUUAGGCCAGUUGAUCUAUGAUGGGAUUCUUUGACCAACGAUGGAAUGUUCGUUAGUGCCUUUUUUUUCAAGCUUAUAAACCUGAAAUGUGUCUGCAUAUUCUGGAAAAAGGAUAUUCAGAUAAUAUCAUUACUUUAAAAUAAUCUACAUAUUCUGAAUUUAAAUAGCAAGUGGACAAUACAAACUUAUAAAUUAUAUGUUCCCUUUUAUUCCUUGGCAUGGAAUGUAAAUCAGCAACCACAUGCUCCAUCUGGUAUGUUUCCCAUCUAUGAUAAUUUUUCUGCUGAUUUGCUGCCCCCCCCCCCCCCCCCACCUUUUACCCCUAUAUUUGGAUCAUGCAAAUAACUUUAAAUAGCCAUACCUCCAUACCUCAGAGCAACUAUAUCAUAUCAUGUUUCAAGUCUUUUGGCCACGAUUAAGGUAAGUAUAUCAUAUCAUGCUAAAAGUCUCUUGGCCAUCUCAUCUAGGUAGUCUCCGUAAAUUCGAUUAAUCAUAGCAACUACAAUUGUCAGAUAUACUAAAUAAGUCUCUAAAUGAUGGAUAUAAAAAAAAUAUGCUUCAAUAGGUGCACAUGGGGUCUUUCUUUCUUUUUUUUCCUUACAGCGAUAUUUCUGGAAUUUGCUACUGACCCAUCAUCUUUCAAAUUGAAUCUCUGUUUUUACAUAUACUUCUAUGAAGUUUGCAUCAUAGGUUGACUUGACAUUAUGAUUUCAUUAGUUAUUUUUGCGCUUAAUCAAUCGAAAUUGCAACAUUUUGUUUCCACUUCAUGCAUGUAAAACCGAACUCUUGGACAUAAUGUUGGCCUAUUGGACAUAGCUCAGUAGUCACUGGCACUUUCCAAGUAAGCAGCAGUCAUCUAAAUUGCUGCACAUACAUUUGGUUAUAUACUGUUGUUUUUAUUGCGCCGAAACACUAAAAUAUCCUUCACAAUGCAGGUGCUAUGUGAAAAGAUCUCAUUGUUUCGUGAUGAAGAUUUCUAUAUGAAAAAUUUUCAGUGGCGGCACCAAAGAUGACAGUUGUGGCGACGACGGCGGUGGCAACGGCAGCUGAGUCGGUGGCGACGGAAGUGGCAGCAGUGAAGUCGAUGGCGAUUUAUUGGAGGGAACGUGUAAACAAUGGCUAGCUAGUGAUGGAGCAAUUAAAAUUGGAUAAAGUUGAUUAUAUCGAUCUAAUCUUGCAUGUGUGACAGCAUGUGUGCAUCUGUAAUUACAUGUCUGUUUGAGAGUGUUUAAGUUAGGCUAGGAGAUUCACGGGUGAAAAGUUUUAGCGUGCCAUAUUGGAUAUACGGGAACACAUUAGAAGUAUUAAACGUAUACUCAAAAUAAAUUAUAAAUUUCGCCUGUAAACUGCGAGACGAAUUUAUUAAACAUAAUUAAUCCGUCAUUAGUAAAUGUUUACUUUAGCACUACUUUAUCAAAUUAUGUAGCAAUUAGGCUUAAAAGAUUCGUCUCGCAAUUUACACGUAAUCUGUGUAAUUAGUUUUUUUUAUCUAUAUUUAAUA